rnacentral:rRNA from 1 species
UACGUAGGGUGCGAGCGUUGUCCGGAAUUAUUGGGCGUAAAGAGCUCGUAGGCGGUCUGUCGCGUCGAUCGUGAAAACUUGGGGCUUAACCCUGAGCUUGCGGUCGAUACGGGCAUGACUGGAGUACGGCAGGGGAGACUGGAAUUCCUGGUGUAGCGGUGAAAUGCGCAGAUAUCAGGAGGAAUACCGGUGGCGAAGGCGGGUCUCUGGGCCGAUACUGACGCUGAGGAGCGAAAGCGUGGGGAGCGAACAGG